GACGAACGCUGGCGGCGUGCUUAACACAUGCAAGUCGAACGGAAAGGCCCUGCUUUUGUGGGGGGCUCGAGUGGCGAACGGGUGAGUAACACGUGAGUAACCUGCCCUUGACUUUGGUAUAACUUCAGGAAACUGGGGCUAAUACCGGAUAGGAGCUCCUGCUGCAUGGUGGGGGUUGGAAAGUUUCGGCGGUUGGGGAGGGACUCGCGGCUUAUCAGCUUGUUGGUGGGGUAGUGGCUUACCAAGGCUUUGACGGGUAGCCGGCCUGAGAGGGUGACCGGCCACAUUGGGACUGAGAUACGGCCCAGACUCCUACGGGAGGCAGCAGUGGGGAAUAUUGCACAAUGGGCGGAAGCCUGAUGCAGCAACGCCGCGUGCGGGAUGAAGGCCUUCGGGUUGUAAACCGCUUUCGCCUGUGACGAAGCGUGAGUGACGGUAAUGGGUAAAGAAGCACCGGCUAACUACGUG
rnacentral:rRNA from 1 species